rnacentral:rRNA from 1 species
CACGUAGGGCGCAAGCGUUGUCCGGAAUUAUUGGGCGUAAAGAGCUCGUAGGCGGUCUGUUGCGUCUGCUGUGAAAACUCGGGGCUUAACCCCGAGCCUGCAGUGGAUACGGGCAGACUAGAGGUAGGUAGGGGAGAAUGGAAUUCCCGGUGUAGCGGUGAAAUGCGUAGAGAUCGGAAAGAACACCAACGGCGAAAGCACUCUGCUGGGCCGACACUGACACUGAGAGACGAAAGCUAGGGGAGCAAAUGGG